AUGGAUUUAAGCUUCAUAUAUAAAGGAAUCCCCUUUUAUUAGAA
rnacentral:tRNA from 1 species